GCUUCGGUGGCCUGGUGGUUAGGGCGUUCGCCCCAAAUGCAGGAGGUCGUGGAUUUGAUUUACCAUCCGAGUCA